UGCACUCACUACUGUAUGUCGCUCUGGAUAAGAGCGUCUGCUAAAUGGCAAAAA
rfam:Salmo salar isolate Sally breed double haploid chromosome ssa03, whole genome shotgun sequence.